CCUACGGGUGGCAGCAGUGGGGAAUCUUUCACAAUGGGGGAAACCCUGAUGCAGCGACGCCGCGUGAGUGAAGAAGUAUUUCGGUACGUAAAGCUCUAUCAGCAGGGCAGCAAAUGACGGUACCUGACUAAGAAGCCGCGGCUAACUACGUGCCAGCAGCCGCGGUAAUCCGUAGGGGGCAAGCGUUAGCCGGAUUUACUGGGGGUAAAGGGAGCGUAGACGGCAGCGCAAGUCUGAAGUGAAAUCCCAUGGCUUAACCAUGGAACUGCUUUGGAAACUGUGCAGCUGGAGUUCAGGAGAGGGAAGCGGAAUUCCUAGUGUAGCGGUGAAAUGCGUAGAUAUUAGGAGGAACACCAGUGGCGAAGGCGGCUUACUGGACUUUAACUGACGUUGAGGCUCGAAAGCGUGGGGAGCAAACAGGAUUAGAUACCCUGGUAGUC
rnacentral:rRNA from 1 species